CAGAGGGGAGACGUCUGUGCAAAUGCUGUUCAGCUCUCCGGGUCAUUCAGUAUUUGCGAGCAGUAAAUGAAAUUGUCCAAAUUUGUUUUCUCAUGAAAAUGUCAGCUGGAGCGCUUAAACCUGGAGGCAAGAUGUUACGUCUGGAACUCUAGGAUCCUCCUUCAUGUCUGCUGCUGGCUGUGUCAGGGCCAUGGCAGGAAGUUGCCAACACAGCCCAGAGUCCUGCAGAUACAACGUGGAGCGGCCUCAGAGAGGAGGAGAGCCUCCUUUUUGGAAUAGAAAAGCAACACGUGAAAGGCUUUCCCCCAACAUGGCAGACCUAGUUGACUUGGACAAGAUAUCCCUUGCUGUCACAAAUACGAAGAAACGCUGGAUAAACUGUUAUAAAGGAUAUUUUAGAAUUCCUACUCAAACUAAAAGAAAGAAGUCACAAGGUGACAGAAAGUAAGAGAUAAAUCUAGGCCAGUGAGCAGUGAGGGACAGUGAGGCCCACAGUGCUGAGGGCUGCAGGUUCAUCGCCCAUGUCGGGCAGGAGAGAUGGGUCAGGGCCUGCUGAGAGGGGGAGCUGGAGCAGACCCUCCCACAUAAAGCCUGGAGCCUCCAAUGGCUGCUUCUUUGUAAAAACCUCUCCACCUGCUAGUCUGGGAAGCGACAAGGAAGCCGGGCUCUUGGAUGGCAGAAACAUAAAGCCACCAUUGAGAAAGUCAAACCCCAGGCCUGUACCACAAAUUUAAACCAUCUACUUGUUGUGAGAAGAUAAGCCAAGAAAUUAAUGUGAAAACCUCUUCUGGAAAGAACGGAAUGAAACUUCUGGGACUACAGCAUACACCAACUCAAUACUGCUCCAUAGGGUAGCUUCACAACUCACAGCACAAAAAAUUUCCAGAGGGGGAAAAAUGAAGAAUGAUAUACCACGAGGGAGAAAAGCAACUAGACUCAUUCCCUAGGUGAUAUCAUACAGUAUUAUUUAAAAACUCCCUUAAUACUGUGGAUUCCUAUGCUUGUAUCUCCAGCCUCGACCUCUCCUCUCAACUCCACAUGGUCCUCGACUCCAGAUUACCUUCAAGAUAGCUCCACCGAGGGGUCUAAUAAGAAUGUCUAAUAUAAUGUGUGUGGCAGCUCGCCUCCAAGAUGGCCCUAAAAAGCCACCCUCCUAGCACUCAUAUCCUGUGUCAUCCCUCCCACAUUGCACUAGGGACCGGUCAGGGUGAUCAAUGGAGUAUGGCCAAUGUGACAUUAUUUCACUUUUGAGACUAAGUUAUAAAAUCACUGUAGCUUCUAUUUUGGUUACUUUUUCUCUUUCUCGCUCUCUCUUGGGUCACCCGCUCUGGAGAAAGCCAGCUGCCGCGUCUUGACAUUCAGGCAGCCCUGUGGUGAGGCUCAUGUGGUGAGGAACUGAGGCCUGAAGCCAACAGCCAGCAUGAACUUGACAGGCAUGUGACUGAGCCACCCUGAGGGCAGACCCUCCAGCCCACUGCACCGCUGGUCGAAGCUUGACUGCAAUCUCAUGGGCCACCUGAGGCAGAACCACGCAGGGACGCUGAGGUCAGAUUCUCGGCCCUCCCACGCUGUGAGAUAAUAAAGAAAAACAUGUCCAGACGGGGCCACUCCUUUUUCCCAAGUCACUGAAUGGAGCCAACGUGGAGCACCAUAGCCAAACUGUCAGGACUUUGUCAUGUUCCAUUUUGCUGCCUUUUACUUCUUCGCCAUCUGAAGAUAAGCAGGUUGCCACCCUGGACCACACCUCUAACAGCAUCUCUGCAGUGGCGUGCUGGGUGAGGCAGAGAACAACUCUAGGAGGCAUUGUUGUCUGCAAAGGCAAAGACUUUUGUGGGGACCGUUUGUGGGUUCAACCUUCUCCACACGCUUGUGGUGUCAUACCAAUGGGCUCUGUGUAGCCUCUUCAGGGAUCCCCAGCUGUCUUUACUGCUCACAACUCUAUUAUCUUCUGAAGUCUUGCAGCUUAUAAAAUAGCUAUUUUGGCCAAAGCCGUACAAUAAAGAAUCAUAUUUGACUCUCA
ensembl:lncRNA